AGCAGCCGCGGUAAUUCCAGCUCCAAUAGCGUAUAUUAAAGUUGUUGCAGUUAAAAAGCUCGUAGUUGAAUUUCGGGAUUGACGUGACGGUCAUGCCUUAAGGGGUAUGAACUGUUACUGUUGAUUUCUCACCUUCUGGAGAAACUUGAUGUCCUUUAUUGGGUGUCUUGCGGAUCCAGGACCUUUACCUUGAAAAAAUUAGAGUGUUUAAAGCAGGCAUUUUUGCUCGAAUACAUUAGCAUGGAAUAAUAGAAUAGGACGGCAUGGUUCUAUUUUGUUGGUUUCUAGGAUCACCGUAAUGAUUAAUAGGGAUAGUUGGGGGCAUUAGUAUUCAAUUGUCAGAGGUGAAAUUCUUGGAUUUAUUGAAGACUAACUACUGCGAAAGCAUUUGCCAAGGAUGUUUUCAUUAAUCAAGAACGAAAGUUAGGGGAUCGAAGACGAUCGGAUACCGUCGUAGUCUUAACCAUAAACUAUGCCGACUAGGAAUCAGACGAUGUUAAUUUUUAAUGACUCGUUUGGC
rnacentral:rRNA from 1 species